GCUGUGGCCGAGGGGUAGGGCACCUGCCUGGCAUGCAGAAGGCCCCGGGUUCAGUCCUUGAACCCUGGGCAGCUGCC